CGCCCCUAGCCGUAUUUCCGCGGGCGCUGAGCACUGGAGAGAGUGUCUUGUGGCUGCGGCCUACCCCUCAACCUCUUCCGCGCGGUUACCUCUGUACCUGCCGCCAUCCGUCCUGGCGCUCCGGAUGAGUCUAUGAGGGGCAGCGCCCGAGGAGUGGUCUUCCCAAGAACCCCCGGUGGCCUCCCAAGGCCGGUGCUGUGUACCUCCUCCCCGACAAAAGGGGAAACUGAGGCCCCAAGGGGCGUGGGAAGAGCCGGCUGGACGUCAGGCCCAGCCGCUGGUGCGUGGUCCGUCCCCUUCGCCGGGUUGGGCCCCUCGGGUUUCGCGUGUCCUCGGGAAAGAGACUGGCGGGUGAGCCGCGCCCUCGGCCUUCGCUGGGCUAAGCCGACCCCAUGCGGACGUCAGACCCCCACAGGUCGGCACAGCCUCUCUGCGGGGAGGCUUAGUGCCCUUUUAGAAACAGCUCGGCAACGCUGUGCCCGGGGCCUUGCACGCGGGCUGAGGGGGGCUAGAGACCUCGCGACUUUCACUCCCCCGACCCCGAUCUUCGACUCCUGACUUUGGAAGCCCCCAAAGCUGCUUUUCGGUUGCCUACAAAGUGUCAGUCAUUGUGCCACGUCCUUGGAACCGUGAACUCAUUUUCUCCUCAAUAACCUUUAAAAAGUAGCUGUAAAACCUCCAUUUUACAGACCAUUUGGCUGAGGUUUAAAUGGAGGACGCUCCCAGGGCCCCAGAGGGGCGAAUUCCAGACUCCUUUGCCAGGACCUUGUACUAAGCCCCUUCCCUACGCUUUUCCCUGCCUAGGCCUCGUGGGCUGUGGGGCUCUCCUGGAGACAGAUGACAGCUCUCCCUUGGAUGGCUUUGCUGGUUCCGCACAAGCCAGCGCCCCCAUUUUUCCUGCAGCACCCUGAUCUGCACUCCCUGAGGGGCUCCCACUGUCCGCGGUGUGAGGAUGUCCCUGGAUAGUCCACUGUGUGCAGAGGCAUGGGAGUUGUCAUGUCGGGAACAUGCUAGACCUCAGUGUCCUUGAGGUAAGAUCUCUGGUUCAUUCUCUGGAAUGUUGGUUCCUUAUAUCUAGUACAGUUCUGCACAUGUUCCGAGGGGCUUUGGGGUUGGUGUAGGGGAGCUGAGAAGUGAGAUGAGAAUGGCACUGUGGAUCCCCAGAUCCGCUGUCCACCCAGCCAACCCAGAUCACCUCUGGCCCUUCAUGUGCCUUCAGGGCUUGCUGCUGGGGGGAAACCUCCAGAGUCCCACUUAGGUAAUAAGAGGUCUCUGCCCUUUCUCCCUGGGCAGCAGGAUGUUGUAAUGGAAAAUGAGUGGACCUAGGCUUCAGAGACUCUUGUCCCCUAGCUUUGAAUCCCCUUCUGCCACUAUCCCAGUCAAGGACUGAUUCAGAACCUAAUUUUCUUCAUUUGGAAAAUAACGUUCUGACAGAGGUGACUUUUGUGGUACUUCAGACCACAUGAUUCCUAUCAUUACCAACCAAUAUUUUCCCAUUGUUUUUGCCCCAUGUGACUUCUCUGUGAUUCCUCCUGGCAAGGAAGUUCUAUGUGGCUUUUACAGGGAAGGAGGGCCACUUUUGGGGUCCUGUGCUGGGCUAGAUUGUUUUCCUGGACUGGACCUAGUCCACAGGCUGCUGGCAUCUGUUUCUCCUCAUGGAUCUCUCUCUGCCCUUGUAUACACCUGCAUUCAAAAAUGAUCACGGGCUGCCUGUGCUCUGGUCAUCGAUAACGCAGGGAGAGGAAUUGCUGAAAGCCGUUUCCCGUGUUUGGAGGGUUCACACCUGUCCCUUUCAAAUGCUGGCGCUUUCACACACUCCUUCUCUCCUGCCAGCACCUUCUGGUCUCAGGAGCAUUGCAGGAUGCUGUGUGAGUGAGUGAUGGGAGACACUUUAGUGUGGCUUUUUUCAGCUUAGCCUUCUGUUAUCAGAGAGCAGUCUCUCUUAGUGUCAAGGUUUGGGUACUAGAUGGUGGAAAAAGCCUAUGUGAAUUAUUUUUAACGAAUAAGUGUGAUGUUGGGUGGCAUACAGUCACUGCCUUAAGAUUUUCAAAGAGAAGCAGCCUUUUGGAGGUGGUGGGCCUUGGCAAGUCUUUCAAGGAGUGGGAUGUGAUGGGCAGUAGAAAGGUAUUCCAGGGAGGGGUAGCAACAUGAGAAGGUCUUUGAGGCUGGGAUGAGCAAGAGUGUCUAGUCCCACUGGGGAGACAGAUGUGCAGGCAAGUAAUGAAAGCAUGGAGGGAUGGCUGCUGGGGUGGUCCUUGGCUCCCAGCACGGUGAGGUGGCACAUCUGUGGGAGGGCCCCUGAGAGGUCUCUUGAGCUGUCUUUCUGCCAGUUGCACAUCUGCUCGGUUGCCUGUCAAGACUCUUAAGACAGUUUUGCUAGACUCUUAAGUUUUUAUUUUGACUAUUCUUUGGGAGCAUUGAGAUUCCUUUUUGAGAUGAGUUUGGUAUGAAAGAAACUGGCAACUCAUACCCGACUGAUUAACUGGGGGCAUUCCCAUUGACAUCAGCUUUAAGAAAGACGACAGAACACUGGAGACCAAGUACUUGCAGCCUCCUGCUCUGUGGCCCUUCCUCACUCCAGGGAUGCCAUCUUGGGUCUGGAGACUGUUAGAGGAAACCCCAAGAGGUGCAGGCACUGAGCCUCUCAGGACAAUGACCUGGGGUCCCAGCUUCCCUGGAGGGGCCUCCUCAUGAUUGGGGGUUGAUCACAGACCAAGAGUGACGAGUGAUGUCACCCUGUGAUGCAUGGCCAGACCUUCUUGCCCCUAUUGUCUCAGCACAACAUUAAUCGACUAUUCCCUCAGCGUGGGUGGGCAGAGGAAAAGCCUUGUGGCUCUGGGGACUUGGGAUCCAGAGUUGAAGACCCUUCAGCUGGCUCUGCCCUGCCAGUGCCACAGAGUGCCAUGGCCCAGGAAGACUGGUUUUCUUCUAUCUAGGCCAGGCCAUCCAGUGGCCAUCCUCCAUGUCCUUCCGCCUCCUCCUGGUGUGACUUCUGAAAACCAAGAAUUUGUUCCUGUUGACUUUUUCUGUGCUGUGGACCAUUGUCCUCUCACCCACUCAAUAAAUCUUGAAACAUGC